rnacentral:rRNA from 1 species
UACGUAGGGUGCAAGCGUUGUCCGGAAUUAUUGGGCGUAAAGAGCUCGUAGGCGGUCUGUCGCGUCGGCUGUGAAAUCCCGAGGCUCAACCUCGGGUCUGCAGUCGAUACGGGCAAACUAGAGUAUUGCAGGGGAGACUGGAAUUCCUGGUGUAGCGGUGAAAUGCGCAGAUAUCAGGAGGAACACCGGUGGCGAAGGCGGGUCUCUGGGCCGUAACUGACGCUGAGGAGCGAAAGCGUGGGGAGCGAACAGG